rnacentral:lncRNA from 1 species
AGCCUGGCUUCAGUCCUGGGCGUGCAGUGUUUUAGAAUCAGGCUGGCUGAUAUUUGGCUUCGGGAAGUCUGGGCUUUGGGUUGUGAACAUAGCGCAUCCGUGCAGUGGUAUUGGGGGUGGGGUGGGGGGCUCAGCCUCCCCCUGUGCCUUUCCCCCUAGAGAGCGCCACAUCCUGCUCCGUCCUGCUCCCACCCGAGCCUCUUCUUCCUCUGCAGGGAAGCUUGUGCCCAGGAAUCUGCCUAAAUCCGGGGUUCCCCAAAGCCUCUGCCUGCCUUCUGCAGCUGAGCUGCUUCAGCCUCUGUGGGACACCCAUUUGAAGGAACCUGUCCAAAUCCAUGUAAGGUGAGUCACGGCUGGGUUGUUUAGGAGUCCAAGCUGAGUGCCGGGGAGGAAGGCUGCUGAUGAAAGGCUUGCUGUCCUAACUUCAAUAGGAGGGCUGCUUCUUUCAGGGAGUUGGAUAAAGUUGGGUGUGGUGACUGGCCUGGCUGACUGAGAUUGUCACUCCAUCAUAUGUAGUGCAUCUGAGGGGGUCUAGAGAGAUGUGGGCAUGAAAAUCACAUUAGCAGGAGCCCCAGGCCAGGGCAGAGCAGGGUUCAUCUGUGGGAUGUAGAAGGGCUGAGACUGGCUGUGAAUGCCCUUGCCCACCAGAUGGCGCCCUAGCACUAGCAGAACCCCUUCUGCAUCUCCGGGACUGCACUUUCAAACUCAAAUACAUGGUUGGAGAUGGGUUAGUGGAAGCCAAAGAAGGGCCUAGAUCUGGGGCUGGGUUACUGGGCACCUUCAAGACAAUGGGCCUCAUCUCAGGAGAAUGGCCUUAGUUCUACCAUCUCAUCUCCAGUUCAAGUCCUACAUGGCCUGGUGCCCCAAUGGCUAGGACAUAUGACAAGCUGUCUGGGGUCUGAGUCCCCUGCUUGGUUGCAUGCACACAUCUGGAUCCAGAAUUACCGGGCUGGAAUGAUGGCUGUACAGUUUGUCAGAACCUGGCUGGCCCACGUGGAGUUGGGCAUCUAGAAAGGCGGCAUUCUGGUUGCAAAUGUACUUUGUCAUCCUGGUGCUUUUGGGGAGGCAGGCUGUGCUCACGCCUGUGCCCUUUCUCUCUAGAGAUCUCCUAUUUUUUCCCUCCCACCUGAGGCUCUUCCUCCUCACCAGACACCUGUUCCAAGGAAGCUCCUGCAACUAGGUAAGAUGAAUCAAGCCUGGGUGGUCCUUGGCGUCUAUCUGGGUCCCAGGGCUGAAGGGUGCCGACUGAUUCAGAGCCGGCUGAAGUGACUUACAGAGCUGGGUCUUUGAUUUCAGGGUGUGGGCUUGUGUCUUGAGGGUUGAGUAUCCAGGGUGACAGUGAAGAA